AGAGUUUGAUCCUGGCUCAGGACGAACGCUGGCGGCGCGCCUAACACAUGCAAGUCGAACGGAGUUAUAUUGGCAGAAGUUUUCGGACGGACGCGGAUAUAACUUAGUGGCGAACGGGUGAGUAACACGUGAGCAACCUACCCUUCAGAGGGGGACAACAGUUGGAAACGACUGCUAAUACCGCAUAAGACCACGGUGUGGCAUCACACAGAGGUCAAAGGAGAAAUCCGCUGAAGGAUGGGCUCGCGUCCAAUUAGCUAGAUGGUGAGGUAACGGCCCACCAUGGCGACGAUUGGUAGCCGGACUGAGAGGUUGAUCGGCCACAUUGGGACUGAGACACGGCCCAGACUCCUACGGGAGGCAGCAGUGGGGAAUAUUGCACAAUGGAGGAAACUCUGAUGCAGCGACGCCGCGUGAGGGAAGAAGGUCUUCGGAUUGUAAACCUCUGUUGUCAGGGACGAUGAUGACGGUACCUGACGAGGAAGCCACGGCUAACUACGUGCCAGCAGCCGCGGUAAAACGUAGGUGGCAAGCGUUGUCCGGAAUUACUGGGUGUAAAGGGAGCGCAGGCGGGAGAGCAAGUUGGGAGUGAAAUCUGUGGGCUCAACCCACAAAUUGCUUUCAAAACUGUUUUUCUUGAGUGGUGUAGAGGUAGGCGGAAUUCCCGGUGUAGCGGUGGAAUGCGUAGAUAUCGGGAGGAACACCAGUGGCGAAGGCGGCCUACUGGGCACUAACUGACGCUGAGGCUCGAAAGCAUGGGUAGCAAACAGGAUUAGAUACCCUGGUAGUCCAUGCCGUAAACGAUGAUUACUAGGUGUGGGGGGUCUGACCCCCUCCGUGCCGGAGUUAACACAAUAAGUAAUCCACCUGGGGAGUACGACCGCAAGGUUGAAACUCAAAGGAAUUGACGGGGGCCCGCACAAGCAGUGGAGUAUGUGGUUUAAUUCGAAGCAACGCGAAGAACCUUACCAG
rnacentral:rRNA from 1 species